ACUCAAAUGAAUUGACGGGGGCCCGCACAAGCGGUGGAGCAUGUGGUUUAAUUCGACGCAACGCGCAGAACCUUACCAGCCCUUGACAUGUCCAUGAUCGGUCGCAGAGAUGUGACCUUCUCUUCGGAGCAUGGAACACAGGUGCUGCAUGGCUGUCGUCAGCUCGUGUCGUGAGAUGUUGGGUUAAGUCCCGCAACGAGCGCAACCCCCGUCCUUAGUUGCUACCAUUUAGUUGAGCACUCUAAGGAGACUGCCGGUGAUAAGCCGCGAGGAAGGUGGGGAUGACGUCAAGUCCUCAUGGCCCUUACGGGCUGGGCUACACACGUGCUACAAUGGCGGUGACAGAGGGACGCAAAGACGCAAGUCUUCGCAAAUCUCAAAAAGCCGUCUCAGUUCGGAUUGGAGUCUGCAACUCGACUCCAUGAAGUUGGAAUCGCUAGUAAUCGUGGAUCAGCAUGCCACGGUGAAUACGUUCCCGGGCCUUGUACACACCGCCCGU
rnacentral:rRNA from 1 species